rnacentral:lncRNA from 1 species
CUCCCCUCCUCGUCCUCGGCGGCGGCGGCGGCGGCCGCAUGUGUGGAUUUUUUUUUUCCCUCUCCCUCUUCUCUUCUUUUUUUUUUCCUCCGAGUUUUAUUCGUGGGAUUUUUUUUUUCAGUUGAGGAGAAGAGAAGGGAAGGAGAAAGAGAGAGAGCGUGUGAGGUUGGGUGGGUGGGUAGUUCGGCGGAAGGAAGGGGAAGGGAGAGCGUGGGAAGGGUGAAGUGGGAGUGGCGGUGCGCGUGACGAAGAGGGGGCGGGGUGUUAUGUGGAUGGUGUGGCUCUGCCGCCCCCCAUGCCAUCUGCCUGCUCUCUGCUACUGCCAUCUCCGUUGAUUUUUUUUUUUUGUGUUUUUUUAACUAUGAAAAGGUAGUGAUAGUAUUUUUGUUACUU